rnacentral:rRNA from 1 species
AUUGAACGCUGGCGGCAGGCCUAACACAUGCAAGUCGAGCGGCAGCGGGACCUUCGGGUUGCCGGCGAGCGGCGGACGGGUGAGUAAUGCCUAGGAAUCUGCCUGUUAGUGGGGGAUAACGCGGGGAAACUCGCGCUAAUACCGCAUACGUCCUACGGGAGAAAGCGGGGGCUCUUCGGACCUCGCGCUAACAGAUGAGCCUAGGUCGGAUUAGCUAGUUGGUGGGGUAAUGGCUCACCAAGGCGACGAUCCGUAACUGGUCUGAGAGGAUGAUCAGUCACACUGGAACUGAGACACGGUCCAGACUCCUACGGGAGGCAGCAGUGGGGAAUAUUGGACAAUGGGCGAAAGCCUGAUCCAGCCAUGCCGCGUGUGUGAAGAAGGUCUUCGGAUUGUAAAGCACUUUAAGUCGGGAGGAAGGGCCGUAGGUUAAUACCCUGCGGUUUUGACGUUACCGACAGAAUAAGCACCGGCUAACUUCGUGCCAGCCGCCGCAGUAA